CUGCUGGGCUACCACAUGACCCAGGACCAUCUAAAGAGGAUUGGGGAGGCCUUGGACUUUGCCCCCCAAAUGCAGGGUAAGAGCACCUCUGCCAGCCAGAUAUAUCCAAGCAUGGAACUCCCAGGACACUUCACUGCCAUCAAAUGAGUCCAGCCAUCAAGGAGAACAGUGCCUUUCUUUUCCUCAUCGUUAUCUAUGAGUUGCUUCACAAAUGCAUGAGCAGAAGCUUGCCUUCUUCCCAUAACUGGCGAGUGUCCAGCUGAAUGUAUGGACUGACUCCUCAGAAAAGCAUCUUCUUUGAGGCUCUGCAAGGUGCUGCAGAAGGGCAACGUAGAGAAGUCAUGGACAACAGCUGAAAUGAGGAAGCUUCCCCAGUUAUAUUUCAAUAAAAGGGAAUAGGCCACCGAUACAAUCCAGUUUUCCAAACAUCUUUCUAUGUGUAUAUUAAGGUUUUGAAAAAUACAUUAAUCAAUAGACAUCAUCUAUGUUGUAAUAUCAUGUUUGUAUAGAAAGAAAGAACUGUCCAACAGAUUGAAAAAAUCAUAACUACUUAUGCUAGCUCAUGCAGUCACACACACACACACACACACACACACACAGACACACACACAGACACCCUGGUCCACUGGAAAAAGAAAGUGUUUUAUAGCGGCUUCCCUCUUAAACAGAAAGGUUAUGUUUAAAAAUAUUUUUUUAACAUGUUUUUAAUGAGCUGGUUUGGCAGGGAGCUUUGGAGAGAGAGUUCCACAAUCAGGGUGCCCCUACAGAGAAGGCCCUGCUUCUCAUUAUCAGCAGGCUACUACUCUCUGUCACAUAAGGACUUUGGACCAGAGCUCCCUCUAAUUAUCUCAGUAUAUGGAAUAGGCAGAGGUGCUUCUUAAGACAUAUGCUAUAUGCCAAGAGUAGUCUUGGGCAUCACUGUUUCUCAGAGUUGGAAGGGACCUUGGCGAUUUUCUCGUGCAACUGCUAUAGCGUCCCUAACAGAACAGAAUAGAAUAAGCUGAAAGCAGCAGAGCAGUAACAAGGCAAAGUGAGCAGCAGAGGUGAGAUCCAAUUUAAAACAUAUUUUGAAUGACACUGGUAAACGAAAGAGCUAAGCACUCACUAGCUGGCCUGACGGAAUCCAUUCUCUUGCAUCUGCAAUAUGGGCAUAAUAAUACUGACCUUCUCCACAAAGGUGACAAGAUAAUGUAGGUGAAUAACUUUGAAAGCUCUAUAUACAGAUUUAUCUAUUAUAUAUUUUGAAGAGCUUGUUUGU